CUACCCUUGACAUGUAUGGAACCCUGCUGAGAGGUGGGGGUGCCCGAAAGGGAGCCAUAACACAGGUGCUGCAUGGCUGUCGUCAGCUCGUGUCGUGAGAUGUUGGGUUAAGUCCCGCAACGAGCGCAACCCUUGUCCCUAGUUGCUACGCAAGAGUACUCUAGGGAGACUGCCGGUGACAAACCGGAGGAAGGUGGGGAUGACGUCAAGUCCUCAUGGCCCUUAUGGGUAGGGCUUCACACGUCAUACAAUGGUCGGAACAGAGGGUCGCCAACCCGCGAGGGGGAGCCAAUCCCAGAAAACCGAUCGUAGUCCGGAUCGCACUCUGCAACUCGAGUGCGUGAAGCUGGAAUCGCUAGUAAUCGCGGAUCAGCAUGCCGCGGUGAAUACGUUCCC
rnacentral:rRNA from 1 species